rnacentral:misc_RNA from 1 species
GUGAAUCAUCGAAUUUUUGAACGCAAAUUGCACUCUCUUCGGAGAGUAUGCCUGUUUGAGGGUCAGCCUAAAAAAAAAAUCGACAUAGUCGCUGUUUUGCGGUGACAUUUGUCGGAAAUUGGGUUAUCUUUAACCUUUUGGUUUUAAGUGGCUUAAAAUUUUUUUUACGAUUCCACGAACGUUUCUAAGAUUUAAUUUUUACACGUUUAAGGUAAACGAUCUUUAUUAGAAGUGGCCG